UAGGAACACAGGAGAUGUGUGAACAGGGAUGUAGCGGAGUGACGUUCAGGAGCUUUUUCAGAGCUGGAGCAAGACCAAAAUUAUCAGAGUGGCAAGGUGACUGAAUGAAUCUCCUAUGGCAAGUAAAUGUGGUGACAAUGAGACUUUUAAGCUUGUGGCAAAUUAUCAUCAAGGGAAUCUAAGAGUGAGGAAAAUAAUCCAGCAUACUACUUUCUUUUUCUUUGGCGAGGUUCCUACUUUUCACUAACAGUUUAAAUGUCAACACAUCUGUCUGAGGUUGUUUGCGUGUCUAAUUAAAAGCUAAAGGUUGCGUUUUUAGCUAGCCAGAGGUCUUGUGUAAAAGCUCAUUGUGUUUCACAAACUGAUCCAUUGCAGUCAGAAUUCAAUGGAGUUUGCUGCCCCAGGAAACUAUACGCAGGAUUGCAAUCAUGCUGGUACUAAUAAAUUGUGUAUUAUGCAAUGUAUUACUGCCACAGAGAGAAAGAGAACAGACAGACAGACCUGCAUGGAUUUGUGGCAUGGCUACAUUGGGGCGUGACUACAGGGGCUGACAUGGUGAACUCCUGUUCUCCAAAAAAUUUCCACUGUCCCACUGAAGGGAAGCUGAAUGGAGGCAAGCAGUGGGGCUACCAGUUACUUCCCUUCAUCUGGGAACCAAAGUGGGAAUUGGCUUCAGACACAUCCUUGGUGCUAACCCUUCCCCCACCCACAGUUACAGGGUUUCUCUUCCCAAUCCUCCUUUUUGUGAAAAGGGCAAUAAUAGACUCUGCACCCACCCAGAAUGCUGUGUAUGUGAAUGGGGAAGGCACAUGCAUAAAAUGCACAUCUCUGCCCUGCCCGUCAUGUCUAGAUUGGCCUUGAGCAACUGAAAAGGUAACAUUAGCAGAGCACACAGCACAGCAAGUGUUUGGAGGCAGUUUUCCUAACAGGCUCUUCUUCCUUGGCUGCUGCAGUCAAAAGCUCCCCCUCCUGUUGCAAUCUGUCAAGAACAAACUUGUCUGUGACAGCUGUUAGCUAAAAUUGCUAACAUAUCCCACUCUUGGAGAAAACAAACACAAGGGUAAAAGCUGGCGUUCUCUGCUUUUGUGCUUUCUGAAUUCACGUACAAUAGUCAUUUUUUGGUUAGCAUUUUUAAAGAGAAUAAAAUCAAAUAGAAAGCCAUUCAUUCAGCCCGAAUAGAUUAACAGAACAUUUGAGAUGCUUUACUCAGAAUAGCAUCUGCCCAAAGCCAAGCCUCCACUGGAGAGGAGCCAAAACGUACUGUGAGAGGGUUUCACUUGAUUCUCAUGUUACUAAAAGAAACUGUUCAGUUGCUUUCUCUGGUCCUCCAUGUGCAGAAGUCCCGUAUACUUAAUACAGCGGCAAUUGUCCCUUGACAUGUAAGCAGGCUUCUUGGUUCCUUAUCUCAUCUAUGAGAAAACAAAGCAGUAUUUCUUUAUAAAGAAGAAAGCAGCCACUGUAUGAAUGGAAUAGUCACUCUUAGACUAGAGCAUAGGUGAAUGAGGUACUGUAAGUGGCACACUGAAUGAAAAUCUCUAGGCUUAAAAUAGGAUCAGAGAAGAGACAGAUACUUCACUCUAAAAGGAAGAGGACAGAAAUAAUUUUCAAAUGGUCUUGAGUGCUGGAGCAAACAAUCUAUCAGGAGUACCAUUUCAGAUUUUGAGGGAAGGGUAAGGAUGGAAAUUCACAGCAGAACUGAAAGGCCUGCUCCUUCCUGUAUACAAGAUGAUGGAGUGUGUGUCAUUUUAAAAGCAUUUCAUAAUAAUAAGAGGCACAGAACCAUUGUCAGAAACACUAGGAGGUAUGCAUGACUGUUCUUCAGUAUAUUAAUGGCAGUCCUUCCAUUGGGGGGGGGGGGUACUUUGAUUUGCAAAAACCUGAAACCACACACACACACACACACACACACACACACACCAUAAUCUGCUAUUUGACUCUCUAUGGCCAGAUCAGAUGGAAGGAAGAAGAAAAGUGAAAUGCAGGCAAAACUAAGGUUGUUUUAUUUUUCUUUUAACUUAUCCACCAUGUAUUGAGGAGGAACAUUCAAAAUGACGUGCAAUAUAGAAGAGUAAUUUUCAGUUAGAACAACUACUUUAAAUUAGUGAGAGCCAGAAGUUAUUAUAAAAAUAUUAAAAUGAGAGUCAGAGAUUUCUGCUGUGAAAUACUUGUCCAGCUCUUUAAAUUUACAACGGAUUCAUUUUUAAAGCAAAAUGGUGUGUCUGAAUGGUAACCUAUUUGAAUGGUGCAGAUGGUUGUGUUCUUCAAUCGCUCGUACAAAUCUGUAGAUCCCUUGCCACUAUCUUUCAGUCCUUAACCAGUAUUCAUGACAACCACACCUCAAUUUUCAUAGGAAGCUCCGUACUAUAGAUAUCUGAUAUGGGAACUAUUUUUAGCUGCAGGUCUGGUCUAUUUAUUUGACUGCACUGGCGUGAAUAAGCAGUAAGCAAAGAAGCUGUUUCAGAAUACGCAUUACUCGUACCACCAUGUUUUUCACUAAAAGGACCAAUGAGCUUAAAUCCUUCUUUUUUUCUUUUGUCUGAUUGAAAGAUGGAAAACUGCAGAGAUAACAUGCAAGGAACAAUACAUAAGAAAAAAUGGCAGACGGCAAACUUUUGCAUAAUGGCAAACUUUUGCAUAGUGGAAAGCAGUCCCUGAAGCGCCCUGAGAUCUUGUGAUGAAGAGUGGUAUAUAAAUAUAAUAAAUAAAUAAGCCAGAGAGAAGGCUUCGGAACACAAAUGUGAAGCUAUUCUUAUUCAUUCUACUAAUAUUUGCAGCUACUACCGGUAUAUGAUGUGAAUCUGGAGCUUUGCCUUCAGUCACCAACAGGGGGCCACCUUGUCAUGUGCACUCACUUUCCCAAACUGAAAAGUUCUAGGGGCAUUGUCCUUACCUGGAUUUGGUUUCACUUGGAAAAGGCCAGGGAUUUUCUGUCUUCAGGGCCUGCACCAGGUUUGAAGGUGCCCUACGCAACAAGGGAAAUAGCAGUAGCAGUUGCAGCUUCUUUGUCCAGCGCUUCUUUGCUCAGGUCCAUGCUAAGCAUCACCACAUGUCCCCCCCCAUAGACCGGCACUGCUAAGACAAGAUGCACUGGGUGAAACAACCCUGACAGUCGCCAUCUUCAUUUUCCCAGAUGCAUUCUGGGGAAAUGAAGAUGGAAGCAGCUGCAGGUUCACCCAGCUAAAAGCAUGCUGCCAUCCAAAUGUUUGCCUAACCAUUCUGGGUGCUGAUGUUGAGCAUGAGGGUAUUAUUUGAGUUUAUUUACAAAUAUUCGGGUUGAGCAUAGAUGGAGGCAGAUAUCUUUUUUUAAAAAACAACACUCCCACAACAAAUCCACUGGCCCUCAUCAGAUCUCCAAAGAGGCGGGCCCCAAAAUGGGUUUUCCAAUGCUCAAAGCUCUCUGACUUUCUCCGUCCCAGUCAAAAACUGCAUUACUUUUGUAUAGCAAGGGUGGUGUUCUCACAGACACAGAUCUAACUUGACAUCAUCUUUAGCUGGAAUGUGGGGGGACGGGACGGGACAGAAAGGCAUGUUUUGUUGAAAUGGCCCUCACUUUCCAGAGGUGCCCCUAGCUAUUUCCAAGCGAUUGUAUGCUAUUUACCUGUCAUUUUUCCCAGGAAAAGAUGUGCCUGGCAAUCUGGCCUACUGCCUGUUAAAGAAGUUUCAAGCUGUUGUUUGUCCCACAGCUGUUAAAGGCACAGAUGCCUUGCCAGAAAACCAAAACAAAACUGGCAAACUUCUGGAAAGGGACACACAUGGUGUGGUUUGCAUUGGACAAUGUUUUCAAAUUCUUGUGGUACAGAAAGUAUUUUGUACCUAGUAUGUGCAAAUACAAGGCACAAACAACACUUUGAACAUUGCUUUGUUUGGCAUGCUAAUGAAAUAACUAAGGCCAAAUUAUUAUUAACUGCAAAACACAUUUUGAAAGAGAUUCUUGUUUUGAUUCAGUGUUCAGCAUUGCCAGCAUAACAGAUGGUGAAGACAUUCAAUAUAAUACCCAGCACAUGUUUAAUUAAACUGGAUUUAUGUCAUUAUGACCUUUUUAGAGACUUUAGGGGGGAAAGUAGCCCCUAAGAACCAGCAAAGAAGAGGCCUUGGGUUGGGGAGUCAUUUUCACAGGAAAUGCUUAGCAAUGAGCUGUGCUGAAAAGGAGAAGAUGGGGUUGGAUCAUAGAAGUAGGAGAGGAGAAAGAAAAUAAGAGGAUCUAACAUAGCUCAGUCGGUACAGCAAGAAAUAACUCUUAAUCUCGGGGUUGUGGAUUUGAGCCCCACGUUGGGCAAAAGAUUCCAACAUUGCAGGGGGCUGAACUAGAUGACCCCUUGCAUCUCUACAAUUCUAUGAUUCAGUGGGAUAUUACACUGGCAUAGGACCAGGAGUGGCAAGGUAGCUGAGCGUCAUUUUCAAUGAUUGCUGACACUUUGCAUAUGCAAUAUGCUACAUUUUAAAUUUUAUUUCAUUUGCGUCACUGACCCACAUCCCAAAUCUCCAAAUGCUCUUGCCUGCAUUGCCACAGGCAGAUCAUCAUAAGCCUGGCUGGCUCUGCUUUCUGUCUGAGCUUCCAAAAGAAUCACCAUCCACUUCAGAGAUGCUUUAGAUGCCACAGGAGUUUGGGCUUCUACACAAGCAGCCAGUUUGGUAACAAGAAACUGGGGCCAAACUAGCAAAGUUAUGGCCCGUUUUCUAUGCUUCUUGACAGAAAGAAAGAUGCCUGGUUACAGAAUACUUCCUCUGUUUUCCAGAUCUCACACAACUGGGAUUUUAAUUCUCUCCCUGCCUAAAGUAUACAACAUAUCCUGGCCAUAGUUCUGUGCAGUUGUGACUGGUGGAGAGGCUUCCUCCAACAACCCGACAGCAGUAGAUGUGUUCAUUUCUUCUAAGCCUAUUGCAAAUCCAUGCUAUAAGCUAGCCAGUUGAUCAAGCAGUAUCACCUUUCCCUGCUACUGUAUAUCUUGGCCCUAAAUAGCUGCUAAUGUGCAUUCCCAUUAGCACCGUCAGAAUUUAACUGGAACUACCCCUGCCAAUGUACAGUCCCCACUUCACAAUUACUGUAUAUUCUUAUUCGUAAACACAAAUGCACACACGUUUUGUGGGUGCCCUGCAUCCUUAGGAAGGGGUGGGUGUGAGAAAUCACUGCCAAUGCUCUUGCUCCAGCCUCAAGACUGCUUUAGCCUGUCCACGUUCUGGUAGAAAUAAAAUUGGAAUAGUAACUCUUGGCCUGCCACCCACUCCCUACAUCCUCUCAUAGCAGGUGCAAGGGAACGUGUGCCUGCCAGCCAUGCUCCGCAUGUGUCAACACACCCACCAUCUGAUUUCCUGGCCAGUCAGCAUUCCCCAGUCAGUUGGUGGGGCUGCACAUGUGUAGAGCCCCUCUGCCAAAUGCUUGGCCGCCAGGAAGAGAAAGCACAGCUGACUUGCAAGGGCAUGGUCACUAGGAAUGUUCCCACUAACCCCAAUCAUCUCUUGCACCUGUGAAGGGACCUCAUUUGAACACCCAUUUUGUGUACCUUGGAACCUCAAAAGAGGAAUGUAGGAAGCUGCCUUAUACCAUUGCUCCAUCUUGCUCAAUAUUAUCUACACUGGCUGGCAGCAGCUCUCUGGGGUGUCAAACAGAAGUCUUUGCCCAGCCUUACCUGGAGAUGCCAGGAAUUGACCAUGGGACUUUCUGCAUGCAAAGCAGAUGCCAUACCCCUGAGCUAUGGCUCUUCCCUAAACAGGAUUUAGCUAGCUAGAGUAUGCCAGUGUUUGAACCUCUUUAGCUCACUUGUUUUGGAACAGAACUUGGAAAGAACCAAGUCUCUAUGCUUAUUUGUUCAUUUGUUUCUGUUCUUUUAAAAAAAAUUUUAAAGAAUGUUUAAAUUUUUGUAAGAGUUAUUUGCCUACAGGGGUGCUGUUGCAACUUUUAAAGAAAGCAUUAUUUGUACAAAAACAGCCUUAAGCUGCUCAAGUAAAUGAUUGACACCUGGCCAAUUAGCCAUGAUGUCAGAACCAAAUUCAAAGGCAAGGGAAAGCAGGACAUUUAUGUACACUUUCCUCCACCACAGAUCACAUAUACCGCCCAUGCUUUAUUAGAAAUAAGUGUUUCCAGACCAAGGGGAUGAUGCAUUUCUCCCAGAAUUGCAGUCUCAGCAAAUUUGCAGGACAGCCUUAAUAAAUCAACUAAAGACACAAUUAGUUUCAUGACUUGCUCAUCCUUUCAUUAUACAUUCUUGCACAAUUGUACCCAGUUGCAAGCCAUUUUGAUUCUGUAACUUCUUAUUCAUGGAAUUUCUGCAUCCAAUUAUAGGGUUGCAGCUUUCUCUCUAUCAUUCUUAGGGACGGGCUUACCGUAUUUUUCGCUCUAUAAGACGCACCAGACCAUAAGACGCACCUAGUUUUUGGAGGAGGAAAACAAGAAAAAAAUAUAUUCUGAAUCUCAGAAGCCAGAACAGCAAGAGGGAUCGCUGCACAGUGAAAGCAGCAAUCCCUCUUGCUGUUCUGGCUUCUGGGAUAGCCAUGCAGCCUGCAUUCGCUCCAUAAGACGCACACACAUUUCCCCUUACUUUUUAGGAGGGGAAAAGUGAGUCUUAUAGAGCAAAAAAUACGGUAUUUUAUGGGAUCCUACAAGCCUGCAAGUGGAAGACAGGAGUGCCUGGCGUCCUCUGGUCCAUGGGGUCACAAAGAGUCAGACACGACUAAAUGACUAAACAACAACAACAACAAGACUGAUGCAUGAUAUUCUUUUCUAGUGAGGGAAGUUGUGUUUCUUUUUCAAGCUGAAGUGAAAAAGUAUUGUUAUAUGUACCUCACUUUCUCAAGCUACAAGAAGUUCCAGGAGAAGCCCAACUCAAGUCUGCUUUCCUUGAAAUGAAAGUAAUGGAGACUUCUGAUGUUGUUAUAGCAUUCAUUUUAUUUUACAGAUGGACAAACAGAGAAUCAUAGACACAUAGAACUGUGGAGUUGGAAGGAACCCUCAGGGUCAUCUUGUCCAACUCCCUGCAAUGCAGCCAUCUCAGUUAAAGCAUCCAUGACAGGUGGCCAUCCAACCACUGCUUAAAAACAAUCAAGGAAUGAGUCCGUUUGACUUCUGUUCUGCUGUCAAACAGCUCUUACUGACAGAAAGUUAUUUCUGAUGUUUAGUGAGAAUCUCCUUUCUUGUAAUUUAAAUCCAUUGGUUUGGGUCCUACUCUCCAGAGCAGGAAAAAACGAGCUUGCUCCAUCUUCCAUGUUACAACCCUUUAGAUAUUUGAAGAUGGCUAUCAUCUCUCCUCUCAGUCUUCUCUUAUUCAGGCUAAACAUUCCCAGCUCCAUCAACCAUUCCUCAUAAGGCUUGGUUUUCAUCUUGAUCUCCCUCCGCUGCACACUUUUUGGCUUUUCAAUAUCCUUCUUAAAUUGUGGUGCCCAGAACUGGACACAGUACUCCAGGUGUGGUUACACCAAAGCAGUACAGAGCGGGGCUAUUAUUUUCCUUGAUCAGGACAUUAUACUUUUGUUGAUGCAAUUAGUAGUAUUCACAUUUUUUUGCUGCUGCAUCAUACUGUGGACUCCUGUUCAGCUUGUAGUCUACUAAGACCCUGAGAUCCUUUUCACAUGUGCUACCGGCAAGCCAGGUGUCCCACCAUCUUCUGUUUGUUCAGCUGGUUCUUCCUGCCUAAAUGUAGAACCUAACAUUUGUUCCUACUGAGAUUCAUUUUGUAAGUUUGGGCCUAUUCUACAAUCUGUCAUGGUCAUAUUGAUUCCCGAUUCAUGCUUCUGCGGCAUUUGCUACCCAUCCCAGUUUAUUGUAGUCUGAAAUCAGGGAUGGGAAACCUGUGGCCCUCCAGGUGUUGUGGGACUCCAUCUUCCAUUGGCCACAGCCAGCAUGGGAUUAUGGGAGUUGUAGGCCAACAAUAUCUGAAGGGCAUUAGGAUCUCCAUCCUUGGUCUUAAGUGCAGGUGGCCAUGUAAGCCUAUGUCACCCUUAUAAGGCUAUAUACCAACAAUGUCAAGUGAGAUACCCAGAGAGAAAGUCAAAGUAUUAAUGCUGAUGGACUGCUCACAGCACACACUCUCUUUCCCUCUGCCAAAAUUCAAUUUAUUCACUACGCUCUUUUCCCCUGUCCUUUCUCCCCCAUUCCACCUCCUCCAACCUUGAUGGCUGACUCCUGCAAAAGGCUCUGAGAGAGAUCUGCAGUUAUCUCCUAAUCAAUUCAGUGGGUUAGGUUGGAUAUUUCUCAGCGAUCUUGGGCCAUUAACCAGUAAUCUGCCUAACAAAGGAAAUAGGGGCCAGCGCCAUAACAUUAUUGUUGAAGUUAAGGUUGAGUAAUGCAGGCAUUGGACUGGUGACUGAAAAACAACUGAACUUUAAUCUCAUCAGAUGUUUUUCACUGAGUUGAGUCUUUUUGCAAAUAUACAUGGGAAGACAAAAACAGAAAACAAGACAAAAAACCCUGACCUUGGUCAAUACUUUACGUUUGAUAGAACUACCCUUGAAAAUAAAUCUAUUUUCCUGAUGCUGUUUUGCUCCUGGGCAGCAAAUAUUCUAUUUCCAUGAUCAAGCAAAGGGAAUCUGGGAGUGAGUAUGGAUCUCCCAUACUAGGAAGAAAAGGGCUGGUGUGUUUUUCAGAAGGGAGGGCAGACUUUUCUCACCCUCCAAAUAGGUCAUGAGGUCUCUAAUAGAGAUAAGGGGCCAUGAAAUGUAUAAAAUAAAACAUAAAAAGACAAUUAAAACAGCAUGAAAAGAUCAUUAAAAUGACUGGCUAAUCAAGAAAGUUUUAAACAACUGCAUAGGCAUGUCAGCACAAAAAGGUCUUCAAGAGACACCUGAAAGUAAAAAGCAGGGGUGCCUGCUGACUUUGCCAGAAGAGUGUUCCGCUGCAAGGGACUAAGUGUUCAACUUCUAACUGAGGCCAUUCAGGUCUCUGUAACACAAGGUGCAACUUACAGUGCUUCUUUGUAUGAUCUCACUCAUCAAGCUGGGAUAUAAUAUGUUGCAUUUGGUUUUAUUGGAUGGGCUCGGGUGGAGAAAUCCUUGAGUACAACAUUGGACCCACAUUAAGGAAGUAUUGAUGCCCAUGGUUCUCCAUGCUUAACACACUCUUUCCAGGUUUUGUAGAUAUUUGUGGUUGAGGCACUUUUUCACACAGCACAUGUUUAAACAAUGGAAUACAUUAACCUGAAGAUCCAGUACUGACGAUCGACUGGGACAAAUUCAUGGAGGAUAUUAGUGGUUACUAGCCAUAAUGGCCUGGUGCUACCUUCAGUAAGGGAGGUAGCAUGUCUCUAAAUACCGGUUUCUGGGGAGCCUAAAUGGGGAGAGUGCUCUUGCACUUGUGUCCUGUUUGUGGGAUUUUCAUAGGUGUCUGGUUCACCACUUUGAGCACAGGAUGAUGGGCCUUUUGCUCCGCUUCAGCAGGGCUCCUCUUACAUUUUGUUAUGUCGUACUGCUUUCAAAACCUGUCCCAUCAGCUUGACCUUCAAAUCAUAUAUAAGCUGACAUUUCCAUAAGCCAAUUGAUAGGGAUGUAUUUUUACAUUUAGUGCUUCUGCUGCAUAUUGCCACUCCAAUCCUGAGUUCUACAUAAAUUUUGCUGUACACAAAACUGAAACUCAAGUGGUAGUGAGUACCGUUAAUUUCAAUGGUGGCAGGUUUAUCCACUUACAGUAAAAAUGGCAAUGCUACACUGUGUUUCUACUCAAGAGGGAGGAACUACAAAAGAAGACACUCCACUCAAUAUAUAUUGCAGGCCCUCCCCUCUCUCUCUCACACACACACGGAAUGCAGCUGCUCUUAUUAAUACUGACAGAUACGCACAGGUGUUACAAAACAAAUGCUGUCAGCAGUCUCAAAGUGUCACUAUCAGCAUGACAUUACAAGACAACUGCAAAUGUCAAAAUGCCUUUGCUACUAAGUGGCUUAUCUCAACCAAAUAACAGAACUGUGCCGAAAGCAAAAUGCGCUUCUUUGCCCAACUCUCCAUAAUAAUUCUAUAGCACCCACAGUCAGCAGCAGGCCAAAUGACCACUCUGCUGAUAGACAAACCUUUGUUUUGACUGAUACCUUCAUUUUAUCUGCUGCACAUGAGAUAGCGUUGUGUUUUAUGGUUGUGUUUUAAUUGUUGUUAGCUGCCUUGUAUGGUGUGCAAGUGCUAGGAGGGAAGGCUAGAAGCAUUUGCAAUAAAUAAAGCCAGCUACUUUGCUGGGCUGACAGAUGAUAUGAAACUCUUCAGAUGAUGAGUGUGCAUGUGUAAGCCAGCCCGUGGACUCAGGUGGAAGUGUCAUAAGCAGCUGAGCUCUUGCUCCUUUCAGGAUGGGAAGGAUAGCUAGGCAGCGUCCAACCAUAAAUCCUGUUAAUUCUUCAGGAAGCUUAGGGCUACCUCCUUGUUAGUUUUAAUGGCACGGCUGCAAUUGUAUUUUAAAAUGUGCAAAACAUAAAAUGUAUUCUAAAAUGCACAUGGCCUGGUGUGGUUGGGUGGGUGGGUGGGAGUCACGUGGGGUUCUUAUCUGCAGCCUGCCAGCAGUUGUUGUGCUCCAGCUCCUAACAGCCCCAGCCAGAAUGGCCAAGGGACAUAUACUGCAUUUAGAACACAUAACAUCCCCCCCCAAAUCAGAACUGUAGUCUCCCUCUUCCAGAGCUACACUUCCUGGCACCCUUAACAAAGUACAGUUCCUGAGGUUCUCACAUGACUUUCCCCGAUGAAUUUUGGGAACUGUAGUCCCCAAGCUUCAUGUCUCAGCAUCCUUAACAAAUUGCAGUUCCCAAGGUUUUUUGGGAGAAGCCAUAUCCUUUGGAUGGGUGUUGAAUGCACUUUAAAUGUAUGGUGCAGAUCUGCCUGGAAUUGUAGUCCAGCAAUAUCUGGAGGGUCACAGCUUAACCACGCCUGCCACAGGCCAAAGAUCUGAGCUGUUCUGCGAUUUACACAUUGGUUUGCAAUGCAUGGCUACAGAACAUGUAGGAACAUGCCCCCCAGGCAAAGUGCCAAUGUUCAUGUUGAUUGAGGGUAUGGGUAGCCACAAGUGUUGGUCAUGUGUAUGCGUUCACAAAAAUGAUCAGGUAAAGCAGUAACACAUGGACUCUAACCUGGAGCUCUUCUUCUCCACACUUGCUGCCCGCCCCCAAGAUUUACCAGCAGAGGGCACCCAAAGCUUAAGAGAGCUGCUAAAUUAGCCACACCUUGCCCACUAAGCAAAAGUCCAAAAGGAUUAAGAAAAUAAUCUCUUUAUACAAAUGAAGCUGCGUAGAUAUUUGAAAGACAAAGACCCCACCACCAAAUUUUAACGUGUAAUUAACCAAGUUGCAUGAGAUAAAACUUGGGUUUGGUGAUCAAGUUUGCCAAUGCAGCUUGUAUCUUUGUUCCUCCCAUGCAAAGAAGCAAACCAAAACACAAAGACUUCACAGAUCAGAACAGGAGCUCAGAAUCAAGAAGCAGAAGGCCCAGGUUUUAGCCCCUAGUCCCAGAGAAUUAAAACUACUGUAUUGCUUUGACACUUCAUAUUUCAGUUAUUAGUAACAAGCUAAGCCCCUCAAAUAGCCCACAGUAAGACUUUGAAUAAAUUGAGGAACACAGUGCUCUACGAAUCUAGUUUUAAAAGAAUUUGGGCACUGUUUGGUUUGACAAAAGUGCAGUAGGGAGAUUCUGAAGUGCAAAAAAUGGAAGGAAAUAUAACAAGCUGUAUGUAAGUAAAAAGGAAGAUGAGCAGAGAAUAGCAACUAGAGGUGGAACAGUUUUAUGUUUGAAAUACCUGGCCUGACUUUCAGUGGCCAGUUCCAGUGCAAGAUAGCCAGUUUAAUGUGCAAUAGAUAAAACAGCUGUUACUCAGUGCUGGAUAUCCAAACCCUCUCUGCAAUGUAAUAUUUGGAUACUGCAUUCCCACUAAUAUUUUGUUAUGGAGAACCACAACUGCACAAUUUUCACAGGUCUUUGUUGGUUUAGUGCCAAAUUACAUCAUUACCUAAGUCCUACAGUAUUCUGAGUGCUUUUUUAAAAAAUUCAUUUUUAUUUAUUUUUAUGUAGACAAAUACACAUGAAAGUAAAAUACAACAAAACUAAAUAGUAAAACUUCAAGUGUUUUAGUCAUUUCCCUUGGAGACACAUAUUAUUAGAGUGCUUAUGUGCCCUCAUAUUUUUGCUUACAUUUUCUGGGUAGAAACAUUCUGAAUGACCAAAGUAAAAUAAAUGAAUAGGGGAAUCUAGUCACAAUUUUCCAAAGGUAAACUAUGCAUUUGGACUGAAGCAGAGAUGUACCUAGCUCACAAGCUACAUGUUCUUCCCAGCAUAGUUCCUUGAAGACUUUAAAUGCAGCCCAUCUCCUUCCUGAGCAAACACAAUAGAAUAGUAAUCCAAUUAUCAUAGCGUAGUAGGCAAAAUUUCCUUUAUUCCCAGAAUUACCAGCUGCUGGGCACGCAGAAGCAGCAAACUUCUGCUGUAGCUUUAGAUCAACAUUACUCACAGCACUAAAAGCACAUCUGAGUCUCUCUCACUUUGUAUGUAUCAUAAAUGAAUGCUGCAAUAGCAGAAGAUGUAUUGAAAGUAUGAUCUCAUAGUUGGGCAAUUUCCCACUCACUCGUUUGUUGAGUGCAGUGUUCAUAAGGGAUUCAGCAGAAUCUGUGUCUUGCAAUAAUAUUGGGUGCUGUUUAGGAUUUAAAUCAAGAGUUGACAAGUUUCAGCACACGUUGUUCCAAAGCACAAUCAUUUACUGUAUCUAAUUCUAGGCAUGUUGAGUCUUUGUCAUGAUGACUCAGGAUUACCUUGGUAAUUUGAUGACAGCCGAAAUCAGCCAUAACGUAAGACCUACUGUAGUUGGCGCCCUGACUGCUGUUUGCAUCUUAGUAUCGCUAUAAGGGAGUUCAACUCAGGAGGGUAAUAGCACGUCCCUAGCACUGCGUUACUUUUUUUGUGGCUUGGAUUUUCGUCCCAAACCACCUCUGUCUUGCCUCUUGUCCCUUGACAUCCCAUGCUUUCUUUUCACAGAGGUACGGAAUAGCUUUUUAGGAGGAAAAUAGGAGGGGAAAUCCAGGGUCCAUUAGUUUUGAAAGGAAUGCAUACAUGAAAAAUAUUGAAGUUAACUAGUCAGCAAAAGAUUAGCAAAAAUUCUUGCUUCAACACUAUUCAUCUCAGCCUUUCAGAGAGAAAGAGAGACAGAAAAAGAGAAAGAAUUGCUUUAAUUUAUGCUUUGUUCCCCUCAGAUCACUCAAUUCACUGAAGGCUGAAAGCUUACAAAAAUUAAAUGCAGGAUUGAUCCAAUUAACAACAAAGGCAGCCAUGAUGCAUUUUGAUUAAUGCAGUUAAAAAUCUGAAUGAGUCUGAACACUCUCAAUCUGGGUUGUUGUUUUUUUUAAAAAAAGCUUAUUACUCACAAGCUUUGCUUUUCAAUUGGGAGAAAAGGAAUGCAAAAUUUGUCCCAUUAACUUUCAUCACUACAAGCUGGUAAAAAGCAGUAGACAAGAGAAGGAUGAUUAUUUCCACAGCAUAUGAGGCUGCCUGGCUUGUCUCAUGUAUUCCUGCCUAGUACUUUGUCCACUUCACACCCUGGCACGUAAACCUGAAGCAAAAGCAAAUCUGCCAUGGAUGUUAAGGGAAUGGGAAAGGUGGAGGCAGCUACACUUGUUCCAUUGUUUCUUCGAAAUGCAUGCGCCUAUCAACUCCAGAUAGCUGUAUUGCUCCUUUAAAACAUAAUCCACAGUAAAGCAAUAUCUUUAUUUGAAUGAACCAAUGCUCACAGUGCACUACUUCAGCUUUUGUUUCAUGUUUGUACAGAAUCCCCCCUUAAACUGUACAUUCUAGACUUUAUUUUAAAGGGGAAUAAACAAAUGUUUCCAAGUUAGGGAAAGCUAUCAUUGCAUAACUACUGUAUACAAGCAGGGAUAGGGAAUUUGCUUCCCCUACAUAUAUUGUGGAUGAGAGUUCUCAUAAUCUGUGGCCAUUGGUAAGAUUUAAAAUGCAUGUAAUGUUGUCGUGGGAUGUGAGUUAGAAGGACAGAACUCGUGGCAUCUCAGCCGCUUGGCCACUGUACUCCAUGCUCUGGUAACUCCCAGACUGGAUUGUUGUAAUGCACUCAACAUGGGGCUGCUCUUGAAGACAACUUGGAAACUUCAAUGGGUCCAAAAUGCAGCGGCUAGAUUACCGGUUGGGGUUUCAUUCAGUUCUAAACCAGCUGCACUGUUCAUAUCCAGUUCUAAACCAGCUGCACUGGUUGGCUAUUUUCGGUCCAUUUCAAGGUACACAUGUUAAUGUUUAAAGCCCUAAACAGCUCAGGCCCCAAAUACUUGAAAGACACCCUCCUUCCCUACAGACCCCCUUGGGUAUUAAGAGCAGCAAAAUGGGACCUUCUGGAAGUUCUGCCACGCUUAGAAGUUCUAGGGUAGUGGAAGCCCAGGAAAGGGAAAUCUUUGCUUCAGCCCCUAAGCUGUGGAACUCUCUCCCCAUAGAGGUGCAUCUGGCAACUUCAUUAUACAGUGGUACCUCGAGUUACAGACACUUCAGGUUACAGACUCCGCUAACCCAGAAAUAGUACCUCGGGUUAAGAACUUUGCUUCAGGAUGAGAACAGAAAUCGCUCUGCGGUGGCAGUGGGAGGCCCCAUUAGCCAAAGUGGUACCUCAGGUUAAGAACAGUUUCAGGUUAAGACCGGACCUCCAGAAUGAAUUACGUUCUUAACCCGAGGUACCACUGAACAGUUUUUGGAGAAUGCUUAAGACACACUUUACUAUCUUAGGCUUUGACACCUAAGAUGUAUAUUUUUAGGACCAGCCCUAUUUUUGUGAUUGUAGGUUGCUUAGAAUGCAACAUUAAGAACAGUUUAAUAGUGUUGUAAUACUGGGACCCUAGAGUGAUGGGCAGAUAAUAAAUUAAAAUACAACACCACCAGCACAAUUGGCACUGGUUCUCCAGGAUUCCAACUGUGGGCAAUCCCAGUACUUAGAGAUGCCAAGGAUUGAACUCGAGACCUUCUACUUCUCUGGACCUAGUGACUUCCAUGGCAACACUAGGGCUCUCCCAGUUUGUUUUGGGCCCCACUCAUCAAGCAGGCCACACACUGGAUCUGAUCUUUGGGGCUGGCAUAGAUGUGAUCAUGCUCCCCGCUGUGGAAGUGCCAUGGUCUGAUCACUACGCUCUGAAAGCCAAGAUUGACUUCCCGUUCCUCCCCAGCUCGGGUGGCAAACCUAUUUGGGCUCGUCCACGAAAACUGAUGGAUCCUGAUAGAUUCCGACAAGCCUUGCGGAACCCUGCUCCUCCUGGUGACUCAUUAGAUGACCUUGUUGAGGACUGGAAUAACCGGCUCUUGGCAGCCAUUGAUGAGAUCGCGCCUAAGCGCCCUCUGCGACCCUGUCGAAACCGGGCCCCUUGGUUUACUGAGGAGCUCCGGAAAAUGAAGCGGGAUCUCAGACGGCUAGAGCGAGUAUGGCGACGGACUCGUGACGGAGCCUCAAGAACAUCUUAUAGGACGCUUAUGAAAGCCUAUGAGAUGGCUAUGAAAGCUGCUAAGAAAUCUUACUUUGCAGCUUCCAUUGCAUCCGCUAGCUCUCGCCCGGCACAACUUUUUAGAAUAAUUAGGUCAAUAACGUCCUUAGGAGGACAACUAAAUUUAAGCACAAAUUCGACCCACAGCUGUGAGGCAUUCGCGAGGUUUUUUGCGGAGAAAGUCCUGUUGCUCCACCGUGACCUCCCUGCCAAUUUAGAUACAAUGACUGAACUGGAGGCCUCUCGACUGACUUCAGGUCCUGUGUUGGACCAUUUCGAUCGAAUACUCCCUACUGAUGUGGAUAGAUCCCUCCAAGUUGGUAGGCCCACCAGCUGCCUCCUUGAUCCGUGCCCGUCUUGGCUGAUUAGGGAGUGUCCAGAUGUUGCGCGGACCCCCCUGGUUGAAAUUAUCAAUUUGUCCCUUGACACGGGGACAUUCCCAGGGGAACUGAAGGAAGCAGUGGUGUGUCCACUCUUAAAGAAAACUUCAUCAGAUCCCUUAGACCUAUCCAAUUACCGCCCAGUUUCAAAUCUUCCAUACCUGGGUAAGGUAAUUGAGAGAGCGGUUGCUGAACAGCUUGGUAGGUUUCUGGAGGAAACAUUGGCAUUAGAUCCAUUUCAGUCCGGUUUCCGUCCUGGUUUUGGGACGGAGAUGGCUCUGGUUGCCCUAACAGAUGAUCUCCAUAGACAACUGGAUCGAGGCGGGUCAGGACUGCUGAUCCUUUUAGAUUUGUCAGCAGCCUUUGACAUGGUCGAUCAUGAUCUUCUGGACCACCGCCUCGCAGACGUGGGGAUACAGGGCAUAGCCUGUAACUGGUUGUGCUCUUUUAUCUCUGGUCGGGGACAGAGGGUGGCACUAGGGAGGAAAAUGUCGUCGCGCCACUCCUUGGUGUGUGGAGUGCCGCAGGGCGCAAUUCUCUCCCGAUGCUUUUAACAUCUUUAUGCGCCCCUUGCCCAGAUUAUCCGGAGCUUUGGGCUGGGCUGUCACCAAUAUGCUGAUGACACUCAGCUCUAUCUGCUGAUGGAUGGCCACACCGACUCGGCCCCGAACACACUGACCAGAUGCUUGGAAGCUGUAGCUGGAUGGUUUCGUGGGAGCCGAUUGAAACUAAAUCCUUCAAAGACAGAGGUCCUAUGGCUAGGUCAGGAUGGCAUGGAGAUGAGGGACCAACUCCCUUCUCUUGCGGGGGCCCAAUUAGUGCCAUUGCCUUCCGUUAAGAGUUGGGGUGUAAUCUUUGACGCUUCCCUUUCCAUGGAGGCGCAAGUUACAGCAACAACCAAGGCGACAUUUUUCCACCUUCGCUACAUCAAGCAGUUGGUCCCUUACCUUUCCCGCCCCGACCUGGCCACAGUGAUCCAUGCGAAGGUCAUCUCCAGGCUUGACUACUGUAAUUCGCUCUACGCGGGGCUGCCCUUGAAGCUGUCCCAGAAACUCCAGCGGGUACAGAAUGCUGCAGCGAGGCUCCUCACGGGGUCUCUGCCAUGGGAGCAUAUUCACCCAGUGCUUUUCAAGCUACACUGGCUCCCGGUGGAGUACAGGGUCAGAUUUAAGGUGCUGCUUUUGACCUUUAAAGCCCUUCACGGCCUAGGACCCUCGUACCUACGGGACCGCCUCUCCUGGUAUGCCCCACGGAGAGCCUCAAGGUCCAUAAAUAACAACACCCUGGUGGCCCCAGGCCCUAAGGAAGUUAGAUUGGCUUCAACCAGAGCCAGGGCCUUUUCAACUCUGGCUCCGGCCUGGUGGAACGCUCUGCCUCAUGAGACCAGGGCCCUACAGGAUCUGAUUUCUUUCCGCAGGGCCUGUAAGACAGAGUUGUUCCGCCUGGCCUUUGGCUUGGAGCCAAUUUGAUUCCCUCCCUCCCUCUCUUUCUUUUUUCUUUUCCUUCUCCUCCUGCGAUGAGGCCACAUUUUAAUAUUUUAAUGUUCCAUUAUUUUAAUGUUGUAUUUUAUUUUUGUUUUUAAGUUGUAAUCAUUCACCUUGUUUUUAUUAUUGCUUGUAAGCCGCUCUGAGCCCGGCCUUGGCUGGGGAGGGCGGGGUAUAAAUAAAAAAUUAUUAUUAUUAUUAUUACUUGCAAACCAGGUGCUUUGUCACUGAGCGAAGGCCCUUUCUCAACAAAAUACUGUUGCCCACCACCCCAGUCUUUAAGCAGUGUGAGAUUCCAGGGUUACCAGGCCUUUAUCCAGGGUUUGUGUUUCCUUUUUGGAAUGAGGCAUAGUAGACACUCUAGUGUCUUUAUGAUAUAUGGUUUAUUUACACAUAGAUACAACCUGAGCCAAUGAUAGAGGGUUUCACAGCAUUAACAUCCCAAGAGGGUCUUGUUUCUCCCACAGCUGUGCUCUGCCUCUCUGGAGGAGGGUCCCCACUCAUUUGCCAUCUGGCACAGAGCCCAUUCUCUUUUGCUCUCUUAAUAACCCAUCACCUUUUCUUUGUUUUCUUAAUGGCCCUUCACCCAGACGAUCACCUCAUGAGGAAGCUAGCCUGGCUUAUAUAUAGCCUGGCUUGCUAGGAUUAUAGGGAUUUGAAGUCUGGCACCGACAAAUUCAUAACAAUUCCCUCAGGAAAUAAUUGUCUCAGUGUUUGAAUUAAUAAAUUGGGGAGCCAAUGCAUCUAGAGAAAACCUUCUCCUGUAGUUUGUGUUCUGGAUGAUAAAAGCUUGUAAACUGUUCUCCAAGCUAUCCAUUCACUACUGGGUAGGGAAGGAAGUAGAGGACUCCUGGAUGAAAGAAAUACCGUACUUGUGAGCCUGUGAUUCAUGUGUGAGAUGGGAUCCCUUAGCACAGCAAAAUAGUGAGCUAUUUUGACACACAGGACCACUGACUCAGGCUGAGGUAAAGACGUUACUAUUCCAUUGCUGCAGGAAUGGACCUUGGCAUCAGCCAGUUGAAAGAAGUUCUCAUGUUGCUUCUUUGAGAAGUCAGAGAUAGUUUACGCACACCUGAAACCUUGCUUACGUACAAGCGCCAAGAGUAACUAUAUUUGGUUAGUACUUUGGCAGGGAGAGUAUGCCCGCGUUCUGCAUUUUCAGAUAAUAGAUGGCCUCAACUUUACAUCUCGGCUUACUAGUUAGAAAACUUUGAAGCAAAGUGAUACAAACUGUUUAUGUGACUGUUUAUCUCUGCAUAAGGCAGAUACUAAGACAGUUGGAGUUGUUUUAUACAUCUCUGCUAGUAUGGUAGAAGACCCUGACGUAGAAAUACCAUAUUUUUUUAUAUGCAGGAUUUAAUGGAAUACCAAAUCACUUCUGUAAAACUCAGCAGCUUAAAAGUGAUUGUCUGAAUUAUUAUCUCUUGUUUAUAUUAGUCACCAAGGAAAGCAAGAGUGAGCUUGAUUACAGGCUGACAGGGACAUGAGCAUGUGUUUCCAACAUGAUAAACAUUAUUUUGCUCACUAGCCUUGUAUGUACAUUAAAGCUGAGGCCAUUUCAUAAGCUGUGUUAUGAAAGGCUGAUCACCCCACAUCUCUUGACUAGCAGGACAUUCCUGGAAUGACCUCCCUUUGCCGUGCAUAGAAAUCUAACGCUGUGUCUAAAUUCAAGCUGCUUUCUUUCUUUCCUUCCCUUUUUCUUUUUUCACUCACCCCUGCCAAACAGAAACACAGAUUCAGUGCCCCAACUGAUUUGAUGAGGGUGUCCUCCCAUCACCCCUCAUAACUUCCAAGGGCCAUUAUAGAAACAGCUGGUCAUGAAGCAAUUCAACAAAAGAUGGUCACUAGACAGCUAAUACAGGACAUGACCAUUAUUAAUUAACACUUCAGAGACUUGCAACAAGCUUGAGUAAAUUAGGAUUCUAAAGGCAUGCAGGCUACAAAUCUUCAUGUCUGAAAGCAUCUGAAAUACAGGAGCAUACUGAAGUGUAAAUUACAGCAGUUGAUUUACAGCACAGAGUUGUAAAUCAACUGCAUAUGAUUUUCUUCAUUAACUCACACAUUGGAGAGGCAUAGAAUGGAUGCGAUCUGUUCUAGUGGUCCUAGAUCAUGGGUGCAAUGACUUUGAAGAGGGCAAAUUCUGCAAAGCAGCAUGGGCAUCUGAAGGUGGCUAUGGCACUCUUCAGAAAGAAAGCCACUGAUUUAAUAUGGCCACUUCUCCUGACAGGGAGAAUACUUUUGCUUCAAAAGGCAAAGUGCCACUCUCUCUGCCCUAUUCCCGCUGCACUAAAAAAGCUCUUCAGUAAACUCUGAAUUCAAGCAUUCAUUCUCUUGGGUAUGCAAACACAAAACGGGGUGAGCAAAUACAUAUCUGUUCUCCUUGCAAAGUCUUGCUCCGUCUGUUUCCUCUGUCCACAUCAACUAUAAUUGUGCAAUCUGAAUGUGCCAAUAUGUGGAUCCUAACUGAAAAUAGCAACAGUCUAGAAGAUUAGAUUAAGUGGCAUACAGAAACUGAAGCAACAACAGACAAUUUAAAUAAAAUAUUGCAAAAACACACAAUUACAUAUAGAGAUGUUACAUUAAUACAAAAUUACUAAUAUAUAUACAUCAGUAUCAGUUCAUGUUCUUUCUGACACACCCUCCCUCUCACCCAGAGGACUGUCACUCAGGGCCCAAACAAACUCUCAUCUCACUCACAAAAGUCUCACAAUGAGAAAAAGUGGACAUCACCCUGCUCUCUCACUCUAGACUUGCUUUUUAUGGGCAAGCCCAAGGGGGAUGGUACUUCCUCAGGCUAUGUCCGAUUCAGCUGCACUCUCCACCCCCAGUUCCAGGUGCAGCAGGAUUGUUGACCCAGGGGGUCCAGAGGAUGGGGAAAGGACCCCCGCUCCACUCACAGCUCUUUCUUCACCCUCUGUCCUCUCCUCCUCCAUCCAUACUUUGUACCUUUGCCCAUGUACACCCACACACCCCAAAAUGAUUAUUUAUGGUUAGCAAAAACAUCUUGCACUGAGCAGAGCUGUAACUUAAGGACAAGCUCCACUAUAGCACUUUUCACUGGUCAACAGAACCUGGAGCAUCCCAGUUAAUGAUAAGUAUUGACAGACUGCCUUUCAGCUGAUAGAGGAGGAAGGGAAAUGACUAUUUUUCUGUGCCUUUCGAUAUGUGUAUCAAUUAGAUCCCAUCAUGCUUUUGUGUCAAGCUAUACAUACAGCAGAACCUAUUUACAUAAAUGAAUUGGGCACUAAUGGAUAAAUCCCUCAUCCCUGGAAUAUAUGUACCUUUAAAAUGUCUGAUUAAGAUGUUUUCAGAAGGCUUAUAAAAUAAGAGCAUCAGUGAGGACCCGGCUUGGCAAAGGAGGGACCAUUAGUCUCCCCCAGCUAUGCCUGACUCUGUUCUCAGUGCAGAACCAACCCAGAACCUCAGAGAGGCAACGUCACCAGAGUUGAUUAUCCUGUCUCUGGGGCUGAGCUCUUGGGACAGAUUAGAUAUUCUGUUGGGGUAGCAUCAGGCCCUCUGCCCAACCAUCUCCCUUCCUGAGCAGAGAGGUGGCCUCAGAUCUGUUGUUGAAGACCCCUAGGUUGUUAGUCCUGGGAGACAAACAUCCAUUCCAAGGUGCAGUCCACCUUGCGUCCUAGACACAUGGGAGGUCAUGCACUUGGAUUUGGCCAAUAUUACUUACAAUGCAUAACUACCUCUUCCACCUCCAAUAUCACAGAAUGUUGGGAGCUGCAUAGGCUGUUGUAAUCAGGUAGUCCAACAGUUGAAGUUUCUUGCUGUCAUUUGGGAUCAGAAGGAAGUUGUGUACCAGUUCAAGCCAAUACAAGUUUAUUGGCUGCUCUGACACUCUGAAACUAGCAGCUCAGUUUUAGUUCACAUGGGAAGAAAAUUCACACUACAGUCCUGAUUUGAAUAUCUGAUGGUGAUCCAUCAUUGUUGAGUUAUUGAAUUUUAUAUUGGUACUAGAUGAUUCAUAAUAGUAACUAGGCAAAAGAGGAAAGCCUGUAAUAGCAGAUAGAAAAUUGCCGUGAGUAGGGAGAGAGAGAAAAUGAUGAAACAAAAAGAAAUAAACAUAUUGAUUUUGUUUUACGAUUGCUGGAAUUAUUAACAGAUCAAUCCUAUCCCCUGCCCAGGAGCAGCAACUUAUGACAAAGUAGCCUAGUCACCACGGCACCAUUGGUCACACUGGAUGGGGGUCAAGGGUUGGGUUAUGGAGGCUAGAAUGGUGUGGUAAUCAGGCCCAGUGCAUCAACGGCAGCAAUGGAGCUGGCUCAGACUACCAGAGGUGCAAGCAUUAGGGGGGAAUUAAUUUCAGCAAUCACUACCAGUAUGGCAGAGGCACUGCUGUUCUGUACCUUUCUUUCCUUCUCUCUGCUAAAGUGGAUUGGAGUCUAAAGUAGCAGACUGAAUCUCUGUUUCCCCGACACUGAAAAUGGCAGACUAUGGAAGCCUGGACAAACUGCCACAUAAAAUCCUCUUGCAUUUGUGUGUGUGUGUGUGUGUGUGUGUGUGUGUGUGUGUACACGCUGUUGAGGUUGGGUGGGGGUCCAGUGUGUGUAAUAUCACAUCAAGGCUUUUUUGAAGCUGAACCGUCAUUCCGAACCGGUAACUUAGUUUAGUUUUGCUUUUAGGCUCUUGAAUCCAAUAUGAAGAGGGAUUCAGUUAAAUGUUCUGGGGGGGUAGGGGGUGGAAUCCAGCUAACUUAGGGCUCAGGUUCAUUUUAAUUUUCUUAUUGUAAUCUCAGGGUUAGGUCCACAAAAACACUACUUGUCACACUGUUUGAAAGUUAACUAUUUAUGAUUGUCUCUUCAUUUUACACAAACAUGUAUUUUCUUCUUCAGAUCUGGUAUUAUUAUUAGUGUAUUGUUGAUUUUUAAAAGUAAAAAAAGAAAUAAAUGAAAUAUCAACAAUGUAUAAAAUGGAAUAAUCAAAAUGUAACUCUUAUUAACAUAUGAGGGGUAUUUUACUUUGGUUCCUGUCAUUCCAGUAUGUAAAAAAACAAAAGUGCUACAUUUUUCAAUAAAGUUAUUAUCUACAUACCUACUUUCUCUAACUCCUAUGAAUUAAUUUGAGCAUAUACACUCAUGAAGAUACACAUGCUGAUCAGUAGUGGCAGGAAGCCACUGGGGGAUCAACUAUACUGCAGAGGUCCCAAUUCAGAAUUCCACUGCAGAGUCGAUCCCUGCCCCAAGCAGGUCUUGCUGUAAGUAGAGAUAUUCUUUUUCAUGGUUGGUCGGAGACAUGCCCACAAAAUGUUUUUUUUGGGGGGGGGGUCACCUGACAUUACUGUGAUGACAGUUGAUUGACAGUUGGGCAGCCUCCCCCACCUGUCAAAAUGGUCUACAGGAUGUGAGAAAAGUCAGAAUCUGGCUCACUAGCCAAAUCCUGUUCCUUACCUCUGUGCUAGAGAAAGAAGGGGUUGAAAUACUUGAACGGUGUGAACUCUGGAAAGUGUUAGAAAGCACAAUUGCAGCAGUAAGGAGCCUGGAGAAAGGGAUCCAGAAAUCUGGAUGCAAAUGGGCAAGUAUCAGUUUGGUUAGGGAAACAAUCUAGAUCGGUAGAGAUGGAUGGAUGCAUUUAUUUGCUCUUAUGGGUAAACUGUAAAAUUAGUUCUCUUCUAUGGAUGAUUUUUUUCCAAAAAGUGUUUUAUCUAAAUCCUUAAGUAAAAGCACAAUUUGUUUUGGAGAAAUUUGGUCAGAUGCCUUGUUAUACAAUCCAUGCCAAAGUGCCAUACCACUCUAGCCAAUAUUUGGAGUAGGUUGGGCCAGUAAAAAUAGAGAAGCUUAAAAAGCUGUUUGCUGAGCAGCCAGAGAAAUAUAAAAAUAUGGCAGCAGUGAAGUUAACAAGAAUGAAUCAUAGAUUCGUAGAGUAGGAAGGGACCCCGAGGGUAAUCUAAUCCAACCCUCUACAAUGCAGGAAUCUACGCUAAAGCAUCCAUGCUGGAUGGCCACCCAACCUCUGCUUAAAAACCUCCUAUGGGAGUCUGUUUCACUAUUAAACAGCUCUUACUGUCAGAAAGCUCUUCCUGAUUUUUAGUCAGAAUGUCCUUUCUUGUAACUUAAAUCCAUUAGUUCUGGUCCUACCCUCCAUAGCAGGAGAAAACAUUCUUGUUCCAUCAUCCAUGUGACAUACCUUAGAUAUUUGCAGAUGGCUAUCAUAUUUUCUCUCAUUCUCCUCUUUACUUAGCUAAACAUACUCACUUGCUUCAACCAUUCCUCAAAAGGCUUGGUUUCCAGACUCUUGGUCAUCCUCCUCUGCACAUGUUUCAGCUUAUCAAUAUCCUUCUUAUAUUGUAGCACCCUGAACUGGUCACACUACAGAUACGCUCUGACCAAGGCAGAAUAGAACGGGACCAUUGCUUCCCUUGAUCAUUACACUAUGCUUCUAUUGAUGCAGCCUAGAAUAGCAUUAGCUUUUUUUGCUGCUGCAUCACACUGUGGUCUACCAAGACCCCUAGAUCUGUUUCACAUGUACUACUGGCAAGCCAGGUGUGCCCCAUCUUAUAUUGGUGCAGCUGGUUAUUCCUGCCUAAGUGUAGAAUCUUACAUUUGUCCUUUGUGAAUUUCAUUUUGUAUGUUCGGGGCCCAGUUCUCCAAUCUGUUAAGGUCAUAUUGAAUCCUGAUUCUGUCUUCAUUUGCAUUGUUUACUGCUCCCAAUUAGGUGUCAUCUGCAAGGGUUGGCUUUCCUGGUUUGCUUUCUUCUCUUCACUUUUACAAUGCCAUCUAAAAGCUGCACAAUUGUAAUACAGUCGUACCUCAGAAGUCAAUCAGAAUCCGUUCUGGAAGUCCGUUCGACUUCCAAAGCAUGGCUUCUGAUUGGCUGAAGGAAACUCCUGCAGCCAGUCAGAAGCCCCGUUGGACGUUCGGCUUCCAAAAGAAUGUUCAAAAACCAGAACACUCAUUUCUGGUUUCUGAUCGUUUGGGAGCCGGAACGUUUGACUCCCAAGGCGUUCAGGAGCCGAGGUACGACUGUACUGUUUCUUAAACUCAUAGUAGCUCCUUUCCCUGGAGAAAAUCCACAUGAUUGUAUCCUGCCUGCUGUUCCCGUGGGCAGUGCUAUCCUAAAGGUUCUGAAUUGCUGUCUGUGAGCCAUAGGAACGCUUUGCCAUAGGUGGGAAACUUUUUUUUUUACUAUUUAUGGCUUAUUGCCAUCGCUGCAGCUGUUAAUAAUCUGAUAAUUUUUAAAUCCUCUGGCACUAUAGAGCUUAAAUAGCAAAAGAGAACUACAAGCGGAUCCAUACAUAGUCCAUAUGAUCCGCUUGCAGUUCUCACUUGCUGUUUAAGCUCUAUUGUGCUACCUGAGGAUUUAGAAGUUAUCAGAUUAUUAAUUUUUAGUUCAAAUGUGUGCUAGAGGAACACGCUUUCCAAUGGUUGUAUCCCCCCAGAGGACAGCAAUGACGUCUGUCUUGGGGAACCUUCAAGGGUGCCAGCACUUACAAGUUCAGCUUUCUUGGAAUAAAGUUCACUGGAGCCUGUGAUGUCAUUUUGAUACAUGGUUUUAAUUACACAUAGAUACAACAUAAGCAUAAGAUGAAUGGUCUAAUUGCAUUAACACCGCAACCGAUUUUGCUUCCCCUUAGGAUUCCAGGCUGUCUUCAGAGCCACAGCUAUGGUUUCAACACAGAGAGCAAGUCUUCCCAGCUCCUGACCAGACAAGACCAGCUCCUGGACUGUUUUUCUCGUACCCCUAGAAUGACAUCCACCCAGGUGAGAGGUGAAAGCCUACCUCUUUCUUCUGGAGGCUUUACUAGUUAGUUGUUUCUGUGGCAACAUGGCCAACUCUUUAGUCAUGUAAAAAGGGUGUUUAAUAGGCUUGGCAGAGCCAGUAACUUAACAAAGAGACUUGUUUGACCCUUUCAGCAGUUUCUUGUAUUAUAGACUCGCAUCUAGAAACAUAUAUGGGGGUGGGGAUACAAAAAAAAUGCUAACUUUUGUGCAAACUUCCAACACUGAUAUAGGGCAGUUCUUAGGAUGAGUUGUGGGUUCUGGGACUUUUCACACCUCACUCCUUGGCAGUUUUUUUUUCUCUAGAAAAAGAGGUGCUGGAACAGAGUUCAGUGUGUUCUGGCUGAAAAAAGCCCUGCUUCUUGGGUAGCUAUACCUCUACUUCCUACCAAUAAAACUAGCAUGAUUACUGAAUUGUGUUGUGCUAAACCUGUGACUGUUUAAACAGAAAUCUUCUGCUAGCAGUAUAUAUUUCACAGAAUUUCAGCUCCCUUCCCUCCCCACUACUAAUUGGAGAAGAUAAGAGGCAAGGUUGUCCGCCAAAUUCACCCACCCACCUAGAUUUACACCUUGCAGCAGCACUCCUGCACAGCAUGGUAGGUACUGAAGGAAAUUCAUCGCCCGAGUUAAUACAGAAUUCUGCCAAGUACUGCUUUGGCUCAUUCUGUCUCAGCAGCAUUUAAAUACAUUUAUAUGGAACAGUGGUGUGCCUGAAAGCUAAUUUAGGCAGGAGAACAGCACAUAUGAUGGACAGUCAAAUUUUCAGCCAUACACGAGGGCUGCAUGUAAUUAAAAAACAACACACACACACACACACACACACACACACACACACUUGUGCUCAUCUGAACAGAUCCCAUCCACAGCAAUACAAAGAAUGGAAUCCAGUUUAAUUAAAGCCUGGACCAGGAAGUUUGUUUUCAUAGAAAAUCUACAUCUGAAAAUAUACUUGUAAAUCUGAAAAUAAUCUUAAACAAUAACAGCAUUCCCCGACUGGGCCAAGACAGUAUUACUGGGCUUGAAAGAAAUUCAUUAGGUCUUCCUAGGCUUCCAGUUUUCUAUUCAUCAACAGUGGGAUAAUAACCAAUUAAUUUCAAAAUGAGGAUCCUUUAGGCCAAAAGGCAGGAGUAGGUUAAUAAAAUAAAACAAGAACAAAGUCUCUACAGGUUCUGCUAAAUAUUACUGGUAUUCAUGUUCAGAAGUCUCUCAUCACAUGGUCUCCACUGAACACACCAUCCAUACCAAAUAUCCUACACUGAUCAAUCUUGUGCAUGGAAAAUCAUGGAAACUAUUCCUUGUAUCUGGAUUCAAGCAUCCUCAGUGCUCCUUGCAUAUCAGACACCUUCUUCCAGAUGCCUAUUAUAACAAUUUUGCCCACCAAUAGCUCCUUCUGCCAAUUUCUUUCUCUCUUUCCAUCUCAAAGGAGUCCCCCAAAGUAGUGCGGCUCAGAUCGCAGCAUCCUUUAGUACUUCCACUUCCUAGCUCAGCCUUUCCCAAUCCGGUGCCUUGCAGAUGUUGUUGGACUCCAGCUCCCCUCAGCCCAGUUGGUGAGGCCAGUGGUCAUGGGUGCUGAGAGCUGUAGUUCAAAACAUCUGGAAUACACCAGGAUGGGGAAGGCUGUCUAUGCCACUUGCCUUCCCUCAAAACAGCAGGUAUCUUGACCCUAGGCUCUUUAUGUGGAUUUUAGUACAAGUGGCCAUCCCACACUGGACUGCCUUGGCUCUCCUCAUGGGUCUGCAAAUGUUUAAACGACCACCCUCCCAAAAAUUAGCACGACUCAGCCCCCCAGAAUUGUAUAAGCAGCCCCUAAUCAUCAUAGAUGCAAC
rnacentral:lncRNA from 1 species